GUGGGGAAUAUUGGACAAUGGGCGAAAGCCUGAUCCAGCCAUGCCGCGUGUGUGAAGAAGGUCUUCGGAUUGUAAAGCACUUUAAGUUGGGAGGAAGGGCAGUAAGUUAAUACCUUGCUGUUUUGACGUUACCGACAGAAUAAGCACCGGCUAACUUCGUGCCAGCAGCCGCGGUAAUACGAAGGGUGCAAGCGUUAAUCGGAAUUACUGGGCGUAAAGCGCGCGUAGGUGGUUUUGUAAGUUGGAGGUGAAAUCCCCGGGAUCAACCUGGGAACUGCCUCCAAAACUGCAUGACUAGAGUACGGUAGAGGGUAGUGGAAUUUCCUGUGUAGCGGUGAAAUGCGUAGAUAUAGGAAGGAACACCAGUGGCGAAGGCGACUACCUGGACUGAUACUGACACUGAGGUGCGAAAGCGUGGGGAGCAAACAGGAUUAGAAACCCCUGUAGUCC
rnacentral:rRNA from 1 species